UGGAUUAGUGGCGAACGGGUGAGUAACACGUGAGUAACCUGCCCCCGACUUUGGGAUAAGCCCGGGAAACUGGGUCUAAUACCGGAUAUGACUUUCCACCGCAUGGUGGGUUGUUGAAAGAUUUAUCGGUGGGGGAUGGACUCGCGGCCUAUCAGCUUGUUGGUGAGGUAAUGGCUCACCAAGGCGACGACGGGUAGCCGGCCUGAGAGGGUGACCGGCCACACUGGGACUGAGACACGGCCCAGACUCCUACGGGAGGCAGCAGUGGGGAAUAUUGCACAAUGGGCGGAAGCCUGAUGCAGCGACGCCGCGUGAGGGAUGACGGCCUUCGGGUUGUAAACCUCUUUCAGUAGGGAAGAAGCGAAAGUGACGGUACCUGCAGAAGAAGCGCCGGCUAACUACGUGCCAGCAGCCGCGGUAAUACGUAGGGCGCAAGCGUUAUCCGGAUUUAUUGGGCGUAAAGAGCUCGUAGGCGGUUUGUCGCGUCUGCCGUGAAAGUCCGAGGCUCAACCUCGGAUCUGCGGUGGGUACGGGCAGACUAGAGUGAUGUAGGGGAGACUGGAAUUCCUGGUGUAGCGGUGAAAUGCGCAGAUAUCAGGAGGAACACCGAUGGCGAAGGCAGGUCUCUGGGCAUUUACUGACGCUGAGGAGCGAAAGCAUGGGGAGCGAACA
rnacentral:rRNA from 1 species